UACGGGGGGGGCAAGCGUUGUUCGGAAUUACUGGGCGUAAAGGGCGCGUAGGCGGCCUUCUCAGUCAGACGUGAAAUCCCCCGGCUUAACCUGGGAACUGCGUCUGAUACUGGAAGGCUGGAGUUCGGGAGAGGGAUGUGGAAUUCCAGGUGUAGCGGUGAAAUGCGUAGAUAUCUGGAGGAACACCGGUGGCGAAGGCGGCCAACUGGUCCGGAUCUGACGCUGAGGCGCGAAAGCGUGGGUAGCAAGCAGG
rnacentral:rRNA from 1 species